CCUACGGGGGGCAGCAGUAGGGAAUCUUUCACAAUGGGCGAAAGCCUGAUGGAGCAACGCCGCGUGCAGGAUGAAGGCCUUCGGGUUGUAAACUGCUUUUAUAAGCGAGAAAUAUGAUGGUAACUUAUGAAUAAGGAUCGGCUAACUACGUGCCAGCAGCCGCGGUCAUACGUAGGAUCCGAGCAUUAUCCGGAGUGACUGGGUGUAAAGAGUUGCGUAGGUGGCAUAAUAAGUAGCUAGUGAAAUCUGGUGGCUCAACCAUUCAGACUAUUAGCUAAACUGUUAAGCUCGAGACCGUUAGGGGUAACUGGAAUUUCGAGUGUAGGAGUGAAAUCCGUAGAUAUUAGAAGGAACACCAAUAGCGUAGGCAGGUUGCUGGGACGGUUCUGACACUAAGGCACGAAAGCGUAGGGAGCAAACGGGAUUAGAUACCCGUGUAGUC
rnacentral:rRNA from 1 species